rnacentral:rRNA from 1 species
AACGAACGCUGGCGGCAUGCCUAACACAUGCAAGUCGAACGAGGCCGUCGGGCCUGGUGGGUCACGGGUGCGUAACGCGGUGGAACCUACCCUUAUAUUCGGAAUAACUCCCCGGGAUAGGUGCUAAUAACGGAUAAUAUCUUCGGACAUACGGUUUAUCGCCUUUGGAUGGGCUCGCGUGGGAUUAGCUAGUUGGUAGGGUAAAAGCCUACCAAGGCGCCGAUCCAUAGCUGGUCUGAGAGGAUGAUCAGCCACACUGGGACUGAGACACGGCCCAGACUCGUACGGGAUGCAGCAGUGGGGAAUAUCGGACGAUGGGCGAAAGCGUGAUCGAGCAAUGCCGCGGGAGUGAUGAAGGCCUUAGGGUUGUAAAGCUCUUUUACCCGGGAUGAUAAUGACAGUACCGGGAGAAUAAGCGCCGGCUAACUACGUG